GCAGCAGCCGAGGAUCUUGGGCAAUGCCCGAAAGGGUGACCCAGUGACGCCGCGUGGGGGAGGAAGCCCUUCGGGGUGUAAACCCCUGUCGGGAGGGGAAGAAGCCGGUCCUUCGGGACCGGUUGACGGUACCCUCCAAGGAAGCCCCGGCUAACUCCGUGCCAGCAGCCGCGGUAAAACGGAGGGGGCGAGCGUUGCCCGGAUUUACUGGGCUUAAAGGGUCCGUAGGCGGUGUCCUAAGUCCCCCGUGAAAGCUGCCCGCUCAACGGGCAGAGGUCGGGGGAGACUGGGACACUUGAGGGCGGGAGAGGCCAGCGGAACGGCGGGUGUAGCGGUGAAAUGCGUCGAUAUCCGCCGGAACACCAGUGGCGAAGGCGGCUGGCUGGAACGCCCCUGACGCUGAGGGACGAAGGCCGGGGGAGCGAACCGGAUUAGAUACCCGGGUAGUCCCGGCAGUAAACGGUGGGCGCUAGGUGUGGGGAGUCUCGACCCUCCCCGUGCCGCAGGGAAACCAAUAAGCGCCCCGCCUGGGGAGUACGGGCGCAAGCCUGAAACUCAAACCAAUUGACGGGGGCCCGCACAAGCGGCGGAGCAUGUGGCUUAAUUCGAUGCUACCCGAAGAACCUUACCAGGGCUUGACAUGUUGGCUUAAGCCUGCCCGAAAGGGCGGGGUGGGGCGGUUUCCGCCGCCCAGCCGGCACAGGUGGUGCACGGCUGUCGUCAGCUCGUGCCGUGAGGUGUCCGGUUAAGUCCGGCAACGAGCGCAACCCCCGCCGCCAGUUGCCAGCGGGUAAUGCCGGGCACUCUGGCGGGACUGCCCGCGUAAGCGGGAGGAAGGUGGGGAUGACGUCAAGUCCGCGUGCCCCUGAAGUCCUGGGCUGCACACAUGCUACAAUGCCCGCUACAAAGGGUUGCGAACCCGCGAGGGGGAGCGAAUCCCAAAAAAGCGGGCUCAGUUCGGAUCGCAGGCUGCAACUCGCCUGCGUGAAGCCGGAGUCGCUAGUAACCGCCGGUCAGCAAUACGGCGGUGAAUACGUUCCCGGGCCUUGUACACACCGCCCGUCACGCCACGGAAGCCGGCUGCACCUGAAGCCGGUGGGCUAACCGGCUGCCCCUUUGAGCGCAUCGGCUCAGUGAAAGUCGGUGCGUUGAAAGGGGCAGCCGGAGGCAGCCGUCGAGGGUGUGGUCGGUGACUGGGGCGAAGUCGUAACAAGGUAGCCGUAGCGGAAGCUGCGGCUG
rnacentral:rRNA from 1 species